ACCAAGCCAACUCUAGCCCUGUAAUCACAACCCAUAACCCAGCCUAGCAUAAAUUGAAGUACAAAUCGUUAAAAUCAGAUGAAAUUGCGUAAAAACAUGAUUUCAGGACCGUUUUAAUGAUUUCAACAAAAAACAUACACUGCACUGCAAUAGUGCAAUAUAUGUUUUCUUCAAACCAAUAACGACAUGCCAGUUGUCACUCAUCCAUGUUUUACCCUAAAUUCUUUAUCUCUGAAGAGAAAAUCUCUGAGAUCGACGAGUCAUUGCUUCCUCUCAUCAACAGUGGCAGGCAACAGCGAUCUCGCUCUCCUUCCUCCGCCAUACCUGACCCUCCCUCUGCUCUUCCAUUAGUUUUUCUUUUUCUCGUGGAGUAAUAUUUAAAUGCUUGCAUCUCCCACUCAAGAAAGAAAGGAAUCGUUACUUUUAAAAGAGAGAAAACAAACAAACUCUCAGGGGCAUCGCAGUAUCAGUAUUACUAUCUUAGCGUAAAGCAAUCAUAACUGAUUCUACCUCCAUUUCUCUGAUACCUAUUUUAUCAACUGCAAAUUCCUCUCCUCAACCUCUCCAUACAAUAACAAUAGCAAUUCAUAAACGUAAUGCAUCGCUAUUUGAUUUUUAUUUUCUUUCUAAUUUGUUUGUCAUUAUGUUUUCUUUUUCUUUUUGGUGGAUUAGGUUUAGUUGUACUUGGAAUCGGGGGGAAAUGGGGCUGAUUUCAGGGAUAUUUUUGGGGAUCAUCUUUGGAAUCGGGUUGAUGGCUGGAUGCCUGGAUGGAAACACAUAAUGCAGUACCAAAGCACCAAAAGAGUUGCUAAGGCAGUUGAUAUAAAACUUCUCAGAACUCAACAGAGAUGAUUUGAAGAAAAUAUGUGGUGAUAAUUUUCCUGAUUGGAUAUCUUUUCCUGCUUUUGAACAGGUCUGUAAUCUUGUCUAAUUAGGUACUCCUGUAUUUUAAAUUGAGUUUGAAUUCUAAUUUCAUGUUGUGCUGUCAUUUUGGAACUUGUAGUAUAUUUUUGUAAAGCUAAAGGACAACGUAUCAUGUAUCAAGAAAAAAAAUCACCUUCUGCAUCGUUGCAUGGUUAGGAUGUGGUUCACUGCUAAUUCGUACUCUGGUUGCAUCUUGCAAGUGAAAUGGCUAAACAAGCAAUUGGGCAAAUUAUAGCCUUUUGUUGCA